rfam:Trichobilharzia regenti genome assembly, scaffold: TRE_scaffold0019189
AUCCAGCUGACAAUUCCCAAAUAGGACGAAAUGCACAUCCUGGAU